CAGGGGGUACCGGUACAGAGUCAAUGUGGAGGCUAUAUACAUGGGGUACCGGUACAGAGUCAAUGUGGAGGCUAUAUACAGGGGGUACCGGUACAGAGUCAAUGUGGAGGCUAUAUACAUGGGGUACCGGUACAGAGUCAAUGUGGAGGCUAUAUACAGGGGGUACCGGUACAGAGUCAAUGUGGAGGCUAUAUACAUGGGGUACCGGUACAGAGUCAAUGUGGAGGCUAUAUACAGGGGGUACCGGUACAGAGUCAAUGUGGAGGCUAUAUACAGGGGGUACCGGUACAGAGUCAAUGCGGAGGCUAUAUACAUGGGGUACCGGUACAGAGUCAAUGUGGAGGCUAUAUACAUGGGGUACCGGUACAGAGUCAAUGUGGAGGCUAUAUACAGGGGGUACCGGUACAGAGUCAACGUGGAGGCUAUAUACAGGGGGUACCGGUACAGAGUCAAUGUGGAGGCUAUACACAGGGGGUACCGGUACAGAGUCAAUGUGGAGGCUAUAUACAUGGGGUACCGGUACAGAGUCAAUGUGGAGGCUAUAUACAGGGGUUACCGGUACAGAGUCAACGUGGAGGCUAUAUACAGGGGGUACCGGUACAGAGUCAAUGUGGAGGCUAUAUACAGGGGGUACCGGUACAGAGUCAAUGCGGAGGCUAUGUACAGGGGGUACCGGUACAGAGUCAAUGUGGAGGCUAUAUACAGGGGGUACUGGUACAUAGUCAAUUAAAGUGACUAUGCAUAGAAAAUAAACAGAGAAGCAGCAUUUACAGGGGGGGGGGGGGUGCAAUGCAAAUAGUCUGGGUAGCCUUCUGGAUGUCAUAAGGUGAACGCACCAAUUUGUAAGUCGCUCUGGAUAAGAGCGUCUGCUAAAUGACUUAAAUGUAAAUGUUAAAUGUAGCCAUUUGAUUAGCUCAGGGCUGCCCAACCCUCUUCCCGGAGAUCUACCGUACUGUGGGUUUUCAGUCCAACCCUGAUUUAACACACCUGAUUCUACUAAUUGGCUGCUCAACAAGACCUUAACUAGCUGAAUACCCUCUGUAGUGCCUUACGGUCGGAGGCAGUUGCCUUACCAGGCAGUGAUGCAGCCAGUCAGGAUGCUCUCGAUGGUGCAGCUGUAAAUCUUUUUGAGGAUCUGAGGACUCAUGCCAAAUCUUUUCGGUCUCCUGAGGGGGAAUAGGGUUUGUUGUGCCCUCUUCAUGACUGUCUUGGUGUGUUUGGACCAUGAUAGUUUGUUGGUGAUGUGGACACCAAGGAACUUGAAGCUCUCAACCUGCUCUACCACAGCCCCGAACGAACCCAUUCCUCAACAAAACCUGAACUCAGGGGUCAAUGUAACAUACUGACUGUAAAAACAACCUGAACUCCAAGGUUCAUGUAACAUACUGACUAAUAACAACCUGAACUCACGGGUCAACAUAACAUACUGACUGUAAAAACAACCUGAACUCAGGGGUCAACACAACAUACUGACUGUAAAAACAACCUGAACUCAGGGGUCAACAUAACAUACUGACUGUAAAAACAACCUGAACUCAGGGGUCAACACAACAUACUGACUGUAAAAACAACCUGAACUCAGGGGUCAACAUAACAUACUGACUGUAAAAACAACCUAAACUCAGGGGUCAACAUAACAUACUGACUGUAAAAGAGACAAUAAUAGGGACUGUAACAAGUGUGCUUGCUGGAUAUGUAGCUAUAUUAUGAGGUCAGUCUGGACACCAACACCCAGUGGGUUUUGUUAACCAGAGGGUAUGAAACCAUAGUGGUAAACACUACUUCUGUUAUGAGAAACAGGAAGUUGUGUCGGGCCAGAGAUCUUUCUGUGGAUCCAUGAACGUCGCUGGUGGCAGACUGAGACACCACAAAGACAGAGCAGAUCAAGGAAAACCGGGAGGCCCACCUGGCAGCCAUGAUGGAACGCCUGCAGGAGAAGUUGAGAGAAGUGUCGUGGAAAAUUGCAAGAUUAUGUUAUAAUGCUUGUAUUGCAUUAUAAUGGUUGUUUUAUUCGACAGAAUAGAAUAUUCUGUUAACUAUUGUGUGUGUGUGUGUUCCACUGAGGAUGGGCCUCUAUGAGAUAGCACUGACAGAGGAGAUUUGCGAUGUCUUUGGGUGAUAAAACCUAAAGAGCAUUCCAGAGAACAUGAGCUAAUGGUUCUGUUCUAUGCCGUACCAGGGAGAGACAGUUCCCUUUUGGAGUAAGGGGGCCAGACACUGGUCUUUACAAUGAAAACUGUUGACACAGCAGUAACUGUCUGCUAAGUUUUAUAGAUAUCUUUCAUACAAAUCUUAACCUUUGUGAACUGUUCCUAAGAUCUGUGGUUCGUCAGUAUAAGUUGAGAGGGGUGUAUCUUGGCUAUAAAAGAUCUUUGUACUUUUCUGUUGGUACUUUUCAAUGGUUUAUUAGAGAUAGCGCAUCAUUGAAAGUCAAAAAAGGCUAUUGCAAAGCUCUUAUUAAAAAUUAUGUAGUUUAAGUAUAACGACUGGUGUGUGAAGUUUGUAACUCUGCUCAUUUGGUAAAGCAGAAAUAUGCCAAAACAGAAGAUUGCCAGUAGUAGUAGUAGUAGUACUGCAGUAGUAGUAGUAGUUCUGUAGUAGUAGUAGUAAUACUGUAGUAGUAGCAGUGUUAGUAGUAAUACUAUUGAAGUAGUAGUAGUAGUGCUGUAGUAGUAGUAGUAGUAGUAGUAGUAGUAGUAGUAGUAGUAGUACUAUUACUAGUAGUCGUUGUAGUAGUAGUACUGUAGUAGUAGUAGUAGUAGUAGUAGUAGUAGUAGUAGUAGUACUAGUAGUAGUAGUAGUAGUAGUAGUAGUAGUAGUAGUAGCACAAUUGGCAUAGCGUCGUCCGGGUUAGGGGUUAGGGAGGGAUUGGCCGGUAGGGAUAUCCUUGUCUCAGUAUGUAAAAAAUGUAAUAAAAUGUAUGCACUCUACUGUAAGUCGCUCUGGAUAAGAGCGUCUGCUAAAUGACUAAAAUGUAAAUGUAAAUGUACUGCAGUAGUAGUAGUAGUAAUGGUGUAGUAGUAAUGGUGUAGCAGGGUAGUAACGUAAUAUUAAUGUAAGAUGGAGCAGAUCAAGGAGAACCGCCAGGCCCACCUGGCAGCCAUGAUGGAACGCCUGCAGGAGAAGGAGAGACAUGCAGCCGUGGUGCGCAGGAACAAAGAGCUGAGGGACGAGCUGACAGCGUGAGCCCCACCUCUCCCCAAUGUCCACCAACCACGUCCCUCCACCCAGCCGCCCAACCCCUGGAAACUCCACAGCAGACACCAAGACCUGGAGGGUGGAGGACUUCACUACCACCACACUGCACCACCCACCCGACCCCUCCACACACACACACACACACACACACACACACACACACACACACACACACACACACACACACACACACACACACACACACACACACACACACACACACACACACACACACACACACACACACACACAAUCAGUAUUAACAGUAUUUUUAAUUGGAUAAGUACCAUCUCAUUAUUUUCUGUGCUAAAGUCAAGGAAACAUGUAAACUGCCAAAUAAAAGAACCAAUGACCUAAACAUA